rnacentral:rRNA from 1 species
UACGUAGGUGGCAAGCGUUGUCCGGAUUUACUGGGCGUAAAGCGCGCGCAGGCGGAUUGGUCAGUCCGGGGUGAAAUCUCACGGCUCAACUGUGAGCGGUCCCCGGAUACUGCCAGUCUCGAGGUGUCUAGAGGAGAGCGGAAUUCCCGGUGUAGUGGUGGAAUGCGUAGAUAUCGGGAGGAACACCUAUUGCGAAGGCAGCUCGCUGGGACGUUACUGACGCUGAGACGCGAAAGCGUGGGGAGCAAACAGG